UUCCGUAGGUGAAACCCUGCGAGGGAUCAUUACAAGUGACCCCGGUCUAACCACCGGGAUGUUCAUAACCCUUUGUUGUCCGACUCUGUUGCCUCCGGGGCGACCCUGCCUUCGGGCGGGGGCUCCGGGUGGACACUUCAAACUCUUGCGUAACUUUGCAGUCUGAGUAAACUUAAUUAAUAAAUUAAAACUUUUAACAACGGAUCUCUUGGUUCUGGCAUCGAUGAAGAACGCAGCGAAAUGCGAUAAGUAAUGUGAAUUGCAGAAUUCAGUGAAUCAUCGAAUCUUUGAACGCACAUUGCGCCCCCUGGUAUUCCGGGGGGCAUGCCUGUUCGAGCGUCAUUUCACCACUCAAGCCUCGCUUGGUAUUGGGCAACGCGGUCCGCCGCGUGCCUCAAAUCGACCGGCUGGGUCUUCUGUCCCCUAAGCGUUGUGGAAACUAUUCGCUAAAGGGUGCUCGGGAGGCUACGCCGUAAAACAAACCCAUUUCUAAGGUUGACCUCGGAUCAGGUAGGGAUACCCGCUGAACUUAAGCAUAUCAAUAA
rnacentral:misc_RNA from 1 species